GCCUGGGUGGCUCAGUCGGUUAAGCGUCUGACUUCGGCUCAGGUCAUGAUCUCGCGGUCUGUGGGUUCGAGCCCCGCGUCAGGCU
rnacentral:tRNA from 1 species